UUUUAUUUCACCGCGUCGUCCGUUAUCGGCUGUAGGUCGAGACAAUGCGUAGCCUCGUGUUUCGGAUAAUAUUUACAAAAAAAAAAAAUUGUAAUAAUUAUUACGUCUCCUCGACGACGACGCGACCGCGACCGGUAUACCUGUACACCCGGACCGAAUCGUUGUCGGACGACAUUAAUGGUUCUACGUGUUAAUUUGAAACUAUUAUGUUACUAUACCGAACCGUAUCCGGCCCGUUAAUUAUGCUGUUAAUUUGUGUUAUUUGUUGUUGUUGUUGAUUUUUUUUUUUUCUGAAGCCGAGUAACUCGUAGGUACCUAGUGACCGUGUCGAAAACGUCUUU